rnacentral:rRNA from 1 species
AUUGAACGCUGGCGGAAUGCUUUACACAUGCAAGUCGAACGGCAGCACGGGGGCAACCCUGGUGGCGAGUGGCGAACGGGUGAGUAAUACAUCGGAACGUGCCCAGUCGUGGGGGAUAACGUAGCGAAAGUUACGCUAAUACCGCAUACGAUCUACGGAUGAAAGCGGGGGACCCUAAGGCCUCGCGCGAUUGGAGCGGCCGAUAUCAGAUUAGGUAGUUGGUGGGGUAAAGGCCCACCAAGCCAACGAUCUGUAGCUGGUCUGAGAGGACGACCAGCCACACUGGAGCUGAGACACGGUCCAGACUCCUACGGGAGGCAGCAGUGGGGAAUUUUGGACAAUGGGCGAAAGCCUGAUCCAGCCAUUCCGCGUGCAGGAUGAAGGCCCUCGGGUUGUAAACUGCUUUUGUACAGAACGAAAAGGUUUCUACUAAUACUAGGAGCUCAUGACGGUACUGUAAGAAUAAGCACCGGCUAACUACGUGCCAGCAGCCGCCGUAA